rnacentral:rRNA from 1 species
UACGUAGGGCGCAAGCGUUGUCCGGAAUUAUUGGGCGUAAAGAGCUCGUAGGCGGCUUGUCACGUCGGGUGUGAAAGCCCGGGGCUUAACCCCCGGGUCUGCAUUCGAUACGGGCUAGCUAGAGUGUGGUAGGGGAGAUCGGAAUUCCUGGUGUAGCGGUGAAAUGCGCAGAUAUCAGGAGGAACACCGGUGGCGAAGGCGGAUCUCUGGGCCAUUACUGACGCUGAGGAGCGAAAAGCGUGGGGGAGCGAACAGG